rnacentral:rRNA from 1 species
UACGGAGGGGGCGAGUGUUGUUCGGAAUUACUGGGCGUAUAGGGCGCGCAGGCGGCAUGGCAAGUCGAGUGUGAAAUCCCCCGGCUUAACUGGGGAACUGCGUCUGAUACUGGAUGGCUUGAGUUUGGGAGAGGGAUGCGGAAUUCCAGGUGUAGCGGUGAAAUGCGUAGAUAUCUGGAGGAACACCGGUGGCGAAGGCGGCAUCCUGGACCAACACUGACACUGAGGAGCGAAAGCCAGGGGAGCAAACGGG